rnacentral:rRNA from 1 species
CUAGCGACUUCAGUAGUUUGAUCCUGGCUCGAGGACGAACGCUGGCGGCGUGCCUAACACAUGCAAGUCGAGCGGAGAUUGAGGAAGAGCUUGCUCGGAAUCAAUCUUAGCGGCGGACGGGUGAGUAACGCGUGAGCAACCUGCCUUUCACAGGGGGAUAACGCAGCGAAAGUUGUGCUAAUACCGCAUGAGACCACAGGAGGACAUCCUCUAGAGGUCAAAGGAGCAAUCCGGUGAAAGAUGGGCUCGCGUCUGAUUAGCUAGUUGGUGAGGUAACGGCCCACCAAGGCGACGAUCAGUAGCCGACCUGAGAGGGUGAUCGGCCACAUUGGAACUGAGAGACGGUCCAA